rnacentral:rRNA from 1 species
CWCKGAACGCCUUCGCUAUUCUCUACUUGCUUACUUGUGUUAGUAUUUAGGUACGGUUGUGUCAUUAGUAAUCAUUAUUAGGUAUCAUCAUUAUAUAUUAAUAGAAGUUUAGAUUUUUCCAGAACACUUAUCACUUUAGCACUUGCUAUUUCUAACUGUGCACAAGUGUUAUUUGUCAAUAAACUCAAGAUUUACUCAUCGUUUAGUCCCUUAGGAACUAGGUGGAUGAUACCACUAGAUAAACUUAGAGGCCGUUACUUUAUUAAAUACCAUAAGCUUUAGGCGAGGGCGGCAGUACCUACCCUUUAUCGUUACUCAUGUCAGCAUUCUCACUUGGGUUACCAAUCUAAUCAGAUGUUUUUAAUCUUAAAAAGAAAAAGUCUUAGGUAUGCCCAAUGUUCCGCUACCCCAUAAAUACAAUAUAUAACUUGUAUAUAUAAAUAAAUAUGGACAAGGUUUCGGUAUCUUGUUUAGAUCCGUUAAAUUUUAAGUGCUUUUUUCCAAAAAAACUAAUGAUAUAGUUUAUUUUUUUUUUUCUUAAGCCAGUGCUCUGCUACGAGGUCUUCAAAAAAUGGCCGCUCCUAAGCCUAUUCCCUGGACAUAUUGGAAAGAAACUACCUUCAUUUCACUUAACAAAAAUUUUGGAACCUUAUUUACUCUUGUUCUGGGCUGUUUCCCUUUAGACAUACAACCUUAUCGUACUAUGUCUGACUAUUCAAUAUUCAUCAUAACCCUUCCGAGAACAAAUACUCACUGAUAAAGCCUUCACGACCCCCCAAUGUCUACAAAUAACAUAUUAAAACAUGCAAGUUGUAUGAGAUCACAAUUCUGUAC